AUCACUCUAUUGUAAAUAUUAAUAAUAUGGAAAUAGAUCUUGAUCAAUGAUAUGAGUAAAACCCAAUGGAAUUGCUCGUUGGCUAUGGGAGUGGGGAGGGAGGAGGCGAAGGAAAGAACAUGAAUCAUGUAACCAUGGAAAAUAUUCUAAAUUAAUUAAACUGUUUAAUUUAAAAUUUUUUAUUUAUUUUAUUCUGUUUUAGUAGUAUUUAUUUUCUAUAUACACAACUCCACUGGGAAUGUUGCUGCAGAUUUCACAUUUUAUCUGCUGAUUUUUGAAUGAUAGUCAUGUCUUUACACUGACUUGUAUUUUGUAGUUUCAGAAGAUGGAGGAGUGCAUACACUCACUCUUGACUGAGAAAAAAAAAACUGAAAUAUUCCUACUAUCCAUGAUUUCAAUUUAGAAGAAUUCUGGUAGAACAUAGAAACUAUGAGUGCCCUCUCAUAUAACAGAAGUGAUUUUUUAAAGAAAAAAUGAAAUAAGAGGAAGAGAAAAAAUAAUCAAAACUAAAAAACAUGGAAAAAGUAUGAAAAUAUAUGCAUGAGUAAAAUGAGCUGGAAAAGGAAACAGCAAGCCACUUCAGUGUCUUUGCCAAGAAAACCCCAAGAUGGGGCCAGGAAGAGUAGGACAUGACUGAAAAAGAUAUAGCAACAAUACCCAGACCUAUCACAGGACCUAGAAGCUUCAACAUUAAAGGACUAGAAGGCAUUGAAUAUACUCUUCUUCAAGGUAAAGGAUCUAGGAAUACAACCAAGAAUCAUCUACCCAGCCAAACAGAGCAUAAUACUCCAGGGGAAGAAAUUUAUACUUAAAGCAAUAGGACUGCUGAUUCCUGAUGAUAAGAUUAGAACUGAAUAGAAAAAUUGAUGAUCAAAUUAGCAGUUCAAAUAAGCAUAAAAAGGUAAAAAAAAGAGAAAACUAAGCUCAAUGGGUUUAAAAAAAGUACAUUCCUACAUAAGAAAGUGAUAAUCAUGAUACUUAAGAUCUCUAUGUUACAAGAGAUACUUAUGGUACUUAAGAUACUUAAAGUACUCAAGGAAUCAAUGGGGUUAAACUUACCAGAUAGGAAGGUGUAAUAAAAAGGAUAAUCUAGGAGAUAUUUCUAGUUAUAAUAAAGGAGAUACUGGGGUUGCCUAUAGUAAUAAAGAAUAUACUUGGAGAUAGAGAUAUUUCUGAGAGAUAGAGAGAUACAAAGGUAAUAGCUAAGAUACUUAAGGUACUUAUGAAAUGUAAUAUUUGUAAAGUACUUAAAGUACAUAAGAUAACUCAAGUACUCAAGAGAAUCAGUAAAUUCAAACAGCUUAUAUUACUAUAUGAGAAGGCAAUAAUGAAGAAACUUAAGAUAACUAUGAUACUUGAGAUACUCUAAAUAUCUUAAACUGGAAAUGCUUUAGAAGUUUUUCACUAUUAGGGAAAUGAAUAGGGACAUAUAAAGAGUGCAAAGAGUAAGAUGAAAAGGAUGGGAUGAUAUUUCCCUUACAAAAACAAACAAACAAACGAAUAAGAGCUAUGAAAGAGGAACUGAAAAAGAGAAAAGGAGAGACAGUUGGAAGUAAAUCAAUUGACUUGAAGUAUAUCAGAGUCAAUACAGUGUUCUUAUUCAAUUUUUUAAAUUGUAUGCCCAGUUCAUUGAUCUGUUCUUAUUUUAUUGAUAUGUUUAGAGAAAUAAAUUUUCCUCUAAUUAUGGUUUUUGCUGUAUCCCAAAGGCUUUAGCUGGUGGUCUCAUUAUUAUCAUUUUUAAAAUGAAAUUGUUUGUUGUUUCUAUGACUUGUUCUUUAACACACUCAUUCUUUAAGAUUGUUAUUUAGACUCAAAUUAAUGUUUGUUCUGUUUCCAUGAUCCCUUAUUAAAUACAUUUUAUUACAUUAUGACUUCAAAAGGAAGCAUUUAACAUUUCUGGUUUUUUGUUUUUUACUAUAAAAAUUUUGUGUCUUAAUAUAUGAUCAGUUUUUGUACGGGUACUGUUUACCAUUGAAAAAAAGGUACAUUCCUUUGUAUUACAGUUCAGUUCUUUCCAAAUAGUCAUCAUAUAUAGCUAAUCUAAGAUUCUAUUUAUCUCCUUGACUUCUUUCUUAUUUAUUUUUUGGUUAGAUUUAUCUAGUUCUGAGAGAAGAAGCUUAAAGUGACCUACUAUCAUACUUUUAUUAUCUAUUUCCACCUGUAACUUCUUUAGCUUUUGCUUUAAUUUGCUUCUUAUUGGUUCAGCAUUGAAAAUGUUUUAUUAUCUGUUACAUUUUAACAUAAUACAGUUUCAUUGUUUAUCUCAUUUAAUUAGAUUUAGUUUAGCUUUAGUUUUUUUGAGGUCAUUAUUGCUACCCUUGAUUUUUUUUGUCAACUGUAGCAUAAUAUAUUUUACUCCAUCCUUUUAUUUUUACUC